rnacentral:rRNA from 1 species
ACGGAAGGCAGCAGUGAGGAAUAUUGGUCAAUGGGCGGAAGCCUGAACCAGCCAAGUCGCGUGAAGGAUGAAGGUAUUAUGUAUUGUAAACUUCUUUAGUCGUAGAGAAAUAAGGCGGACGAGUCCGCUGAUGCUAGUAUACGAAGAAUAAGGAUCGGCUAACUCCGUGCCAGCAGCCGCGGUAAUACGGAGGAUCCGAGCGUUAUCCGGAUUUAUUGGGCUUAAAGGGUGCGCAGGCGGCUUUUUAAGUCAGUGGUCAAAUCGUGGGGCUCAACCCCAUCCCGCCAUUGAUACUGGAGAGCUUGAUUGCGGUCGAGGUUGGCGGAAUUCGUCGUGUAGCGGUGAAAUGCAUAGAUAUGACGAAGAACACCGAUUGCGUAGGCAGCUGACCAGGCCGUAAAUGACGCUCAUGCACGAAAGUGCGGGGAUCGAACAGGAUUAGAUACCCUGGUA